UACGGAGGGUGCAAGCGUUGUCCGGAAUUAUUGGGCGUAAAGAGCGCGUAGGCGGCGGGGUAAGUCGGGUGUGAAAUCUCAGGGCUCAACCCUGAAACUGCACUUGAUACUGCUCUGCUUGAGGACUGGAGAGGAGAGUGGAAUUCACGGUGUAGCAGUGAAAUGCGUAGAUAUCGUGAGGAAGACCAGUGGCGAAGGCGGGUCUCUGGACAGUUACUGACGCUGAGGCGCGAAGGCCAGGGGAGCAAACGGG
rnacentral:rRNA from 1 species